rnacentral:lncRNA from 1 species
GAGGCCUGGGAGUUCCACAGACCAACACCCCUGCUCCUGGCGGCUCCCACCCGGGACUUAGACCCUCAGGUCCCUAAUAUCCCGGAGGUGCUCUCAAUCAGAAAGGUCCUGCUCCGCUUCGCAGUGGAAUGGAACGGAUUUAGAAGCCUGCAGUAGGGGAGUGGGGAGUGGAGAGAGGGAGCCCAGAGUUACAGACGGCGGCGAGAGGAAGGAGGGGCGUCUUUAUUUUUUUAAGGCCCCAAAGAGUCUGAUGUUUACAAGACCAGAAAUGCCACGGCCGCGUCCUGGCAGAGAAAAGGCUGAAAUGGAGGACCGGCGCCUUCCUUAUAAGCUCGUUGGGGCCUAAGCCAGUACCGACCUGGUAGAAAAAGCAACCACGAAGCUAGAGAGAGAGCCAGAGGAGGGAAGAGAGCGCCAGACGAAGGUGAAAGCGAACCACGCAGAGAAAUGCAGGCAAGGGAGCAAGGCGGCAGUUCCCGGAACAAACGUGGCAGAGGGCAAGACGGGCACUCACAGACAGAGGAGUGAUUAUGCAGUGGGACCCUGCUGCAAACGGGACUUUGCACUCUAAAUAUAGACCCCAGCUUGGGACAAAAGUUGCAGUAGAAAAAUAGACAUAGGAGAACACUUAAAUAAGUGAUGCAUGUAGACACAGAAGGGGUAUUUAAAAGACAGAAAUAAUAGAAGUACAGAAGAACAGAAAAAAAAUCAGCAGAUGGAGAUUACCAUUCCCAAUGCCUGAACUUCCUCCUGCUAUUAAGAUUGCUAGAGAAUUGUGUCUUAAACAGUUCAUGAACCCAGAAGAAUGCAAUUUCAAUGUAUUUAGUACACACACAGUAUGUAUAUAAACACAACUCACAGAAUAUAUUUUCCAUACAUUGGGUAGGUAUGCACUUUGUGUAUAUAUAAUAAUGUAUUUUCCAUGCAGUUUUAAAAUGUAGAUAUAUUAAUAUCUGGAUGCAUUUUCUGUGCACUGGUUUUAUAUGCCUUAUGGAGUAUAUACUCACAUGUAGCUAAAUAGACUCAGGACUGCACAUUCCUUGUGUAGGUUGUGUGUGUGUGGUGGUUUUAUGCAUAAAUAAAGUUUUACAUGUGG